UAAAGAAUGCCGACUUCCUUGCUGUACUGU
rnacentral:piRNA from 1 species